rnacentral:rRNA from 1 species
AGACGGAGGAGGCAAGCGUUGUCCGGAAUCAUUGGGCGUAAAGAGCGCGUAGGCUGUCUUUCAAGUCAUAUGUGAAAACCUCAGGCUUAACUUGAGGAUUGCAUAUGAAACUGGAAGACUUGAGUGCAGUAAGGGAAAGUGGAAUUCCUGGUGUAGCGGUGAAAUGCGCAGAUAUCAGGAAGAACACCGGUAGCGAAGGCGGCUUUCUAGGCUGCUACUGACGCUGAGGCGCGAAAGCUAGGGGAGCGAACAGGAUUAGAUACCCUGGUAGUCCUAGCCGUAAACGAUGGACACUAGGUGUGGGGAGUUAUCGACGCUUUCCGCGCCGAAGUUAACGCAUUAAGUGUCCCGCCUGGGGAGUACGGCCGCAAGGCUAAA